rnacentral:rRNA from 1 species
AGCAGCCGCGGUAAUUCCAGCUCCAAUAGCGUAUAUUAAAGUUGUUGCAGUUAAAAAGCUCGUAGUUGAAUUUCGGGAUCAAUAUGUUGGUCGUGCCUUGGUACGUACUAAUUUAUUGGUUUCUUCCUUCUGACGAACCUUGAUGUCAUUAAUUUGGUGUUUUGGGGAAUCAGGACUGUUACUUUGAAAAAUUAGAGUGUUUAAAGCAGGCUCACGCUUGAAUACAUUAGCAUGGAAUAAUGAAAUAGGACGUUUGAUUCUAUUUUGUUGGUUUCUAGGAUCGACGUAAUGAUUAAUAGGGAUAGUUGGGGGCAUUAGUAUUCAAUUGUCAGAGGUGAAAUUCUUGGAUUUAUUGAAGACUAACUACUGCGAAAGCAUUUGCCAAGGAUGUUUCAUUAAUCAAGAACGAAAGUUAGGGGAUCGAAGACGAUCAGAUACCGUCGUAGUCUU